UACGGAGGGUGCAAGCGUUAUCCGGAUUUACUGGGUUUAAAGGGUGCGCAGGCGGAUAUGUAAGUCAGUGGUGAAAUCUCUGGCUUAACCCGGAAAUUGCCAUUGAUACUAUAUAUCUUGAAUGCUGUGGAGGUAAGCGGAAUAUGUCAUGUAGCGGUGAAAUGCUUAGAUAUGACAUAGAACACCAAUCGCGAAGGCAGCUUACUACAGGAAUAUUGACACUGAUGCACGAAAGCGUGGGGAUCAAACAGG
rnacentral:rRNA from 1 species